rnacentral:ncRNA from 2 species
CUAAUCUUGUCGGAGUGCCCAGCGACCUUUAUGGUGCGGGCUGAGACCGUUAAUUCGGGAUCCGCGGAACCUGAUCGGGCUAAUACCCGCGAAGGGAACAAGAGUAAUUCAAUU